rnacentral:rRNA from 1 species
UACGAAGGGGGCAAGCGUUGUCCGGAAUCAUUGGGCGUAAAGCGCGCGUAGGCGGCCCUGUAAGUCCGUUGUGAAAGUCAAAGGCUCAACCUUUGAAAGCCGAUGGAUACUGCAGGGCUAGAGUCCGGAAGAGGCGAGUGGAAUUCCUGGUGUAGCGGUGGAAUGCGCAGAUAUCAGGAGGAACACCAAUAGCGAAGGCAGCUCGCUGGGACGGUACUGACGCUAAGGCGCGAAAGCGUGGGGAGCGAACAGG